AACGCACAUUGCGCCCGCCAGCAUUCUGGCGGGCAUGCCUGUUCGAGCGUCAUUUCAACCCUCGCGCCCAUCCCGGGCCAGCGGUGUUGGGGGCCGGCACUCACCCGCCGCCCCCGAAAUACAGUGGCGGCCCCGCUGCAGCCUCCCCUGCGUAGUAGCACACACCUCGCACCGGAGAGCGGCGGCGGCCACGCCGUAAAACCCCCGACUUCUCAAGAGUUUGACCUCGGAUCAGGUAGGAAUACCCGCUGAACUUAA
rnacentral:misc_RNA from 1 species